rnacentral:misc_RNA from 1 species
UUGAAUAAACUUGGUCGAGCUGUUGCUGGUCCUUCGGGGCAUGUGCACGCUUGCCACCAAUUUUAACCACCUGUGCACCUUAUGUAGAUUGGAAACGUUUCUCGAGGGAACUCGGAUUGAGAACUGCUGUGCGCAAGCCAGCUGUUCUUGUGUUUCUCAAUCUAUGUUUUCAUAUACUCCUAAUGUAUGUAUCAGAAUGUAUUGCUGGGCCUUAGUGCCUUUAAAUCAAAUA